GGCAGGGUCAGCAGGGCGGUGAGGCUGGAGGAGACGGACAAGUUCUACCAGGUUGUUACUUGUCAAGAAGCUCUUCCUCAGCGGGAUAGCCCCCGGGUGGGCGGCGGCGUGGCGAUCACGGCGGUGCACAAGGUCGUGCAGGGUCCCCGGUCCAGGGCGUUCCAAAUGCAGGGCCAACUCCUAGCCGCUGCGCGCGGCGCUGACGGGAGCAAUGCCAAGUUCGCGUGGUAUGGCGCUCCGUUGGCGGACGUGGCCGCGGCGGUGGAGCACGGGUUCGGCAGGACGAACAGCCGGGUCCUUGGCCAUCGCGCGCACGGCGACGACGUCCACGUCUCGCUGCUUCAGUCUCCUUAUGCCAGCGCAAUGCUAGCAAAUGCAGAUGAGAACGGCGAGGCGCAUAUCGUGCUGUGCCGUGUUCUGAUGGGCUGGCCAGAGGCCAUCCCAGCCAGGUCCUCUAAGCUCCACCCCAACAGUGACAAUUACGACAGUGCCGCCGACAACAUGCAGAACCCACAGUGGUAUGUUGUUUGGGGCAAGGACAUGAACAUGAGGAUCCUCCCAGAGUAUGUCGUCAGCUUCAAGUGUCCCAGCCUCCAUCAGAUGCAAGGAUCAUCCGGAGCGACCUCCAUGCUAAAGAAGCCUUCGCCGGUGGCUCGUGACAUGUUUCCGACGCUUCUAGCAGAGAUCCAGCGGUUCGUGCCAUCUUCCAAGCUGCAGAUAUUGCAGGGGACCUACAAUCGCUUCAAGGUAAAUUGGUGGGGGAUGAUUAUUAGUAUAGGGUGUGCGAAUAUAAUAGCAAUUACGGAAAGAAAUCUAGAGAAUUGGUCUCUAGCAGGGGGACACUUGCGAAUGGAAAACGGGGGAAGGGAGAUGAGUUUGCGUGUCUUUUUUUAUAUAUAG
rnacentral:rRNA from 1 species